rnacentral:rRNA from 1 species
GAUGAACGCUGGCGGCGUGCCUAAUACAUGCAAGUCGAGCGAACGGACGAGAAGCUUGCUUCUCUGAUGUUAGCGGCGGACGGGUGAGUAACACGUGGAUAACCUACCUAUAAGACUGGGAUAACUUCGGGAAACCGUAGCUAAUACCGGAUAAUAUUUUGAACCGCAUGGUUCAAAAGUGAAAGACGGCCUUGCUGUCACUUAUAGAUGGAUCCGCGCUGCAUUAGCUAGUUGGUAAGGUAACGGCUUACCAAGGCAAUGAUGCAUAGCCGACCUGAGAGGGUGAUCGGCCACACUGGAACUGAGACACGGUCCAGACUCCUACGGGAGGCAGCAGUAGGGAAUCUUCCGCAAUGGGCGAAAGCCUGACGGAGCAACGCCGCGUGAGUGAUGAAGGUCUUCGGAUCGUAAAACUCUGUUAUUAGGGAAGAACAUAUGUGUAAGUAACUGUGCACAUCUUGACGGUACCUAAUCAGAAAGCCACGGCUAACUACGUG